rnacentral:rRNA from 1 species
UACGUAGGGUGCGAGCGUUGUCCGGAAUUAUUGGGCGUAAAGAGCUCGUAGGCGGUCUGUCGCGUCGGCUGUGAAAACCCGGGGCUCAACCCCGGGCCUGCAGUCGAUACGGGCAGACUAGAGUGCGGUAGGGGAGACUGGAAUUCCUGGUGUAGCGGUGAAAUGCGCAGAUAUCAGGAGGAACACCGGUGGCGAAGGCGGGUCUCUGGGCCGUUACUGACGCUGAGGAGCGAAAGCGUGGGGAGCGAACAGG